rnacentral:lncRNA from 1 species
UUUUUGGCAGCAUAUGGUACCUGCAUUUUAUUUGAGCUGCAGUGAGAUGAUCGAAAAAUGGGGGAAACUGGUAACCAAAGAAAGCUCGUGUGAAGUGGAUGUGUGGCCUCAUCUACAAACCUUUUCAAGUGAUGUAAUUUCACGUACAUCAUUUGGUAGUAGUUUUGAGGAAGGAAAAAAGAUUUUUGAAUUUCAAAAAGAACAAGCUGAGUUGAUUAUAAAGGGUAUACAGUCGAUUUUCAUUCCAGGAUCAAGGUAAUUAAUACUUUUCAAAACAACAUUUUAAAAGGGUUAAUGUCUUAAAUAGAUAACCAACUAUAUAUAAUUUGUUUAUUUUCAAAAUAAAAUUAAUUUUAGAAAGUACUAAUAGAAUGUAUGUAAUGAGGUCUUUUUGUUCAUAAAAUACUUUUCUUUCGAUAGUAUUUUGCGAACGUAUUGUUCUAACUGCUUAUCUUCUGAUUUUGUUUUAUUUAAAUAACCUGUAUUGUUAAAAAAUAGUUUGUUACUAUUUGUGUCAUGGCAACUUAUUUCUCCCUAAGUAAACUAAUAGCAUGCAUAUUUAAUCAUAACACUUUUACAUGUGUGGUGAUAUAUUAUUUGGUGGUUAGAUCGGUACAAUCACUACAUUUUGGUAUUUUAUGGUAAUCAAAUAAGAUUUUAUAGAUUUUUGCCAACAAAAGACAACAAGAGGUUGAAAUAUAUUGACCGUGAGGUGAAGGCUUCAAUAAAGAGCAUUAUUGAUAAACGAGUGGUUGCAAUGAAAGCUGGAGAAACUAUUAAUGAUGACCUUUUGGGUAUUCUUUUGGAUUCCAAUUACAAAGAAAUCAAACAACAAGGGAGUAGCAAUUUUGGAUUAAGCAUUGAGGAAGUAAUCGAAGAAUGCAAACUUUUCUACUUUGCAGGACAAGAGACAACGGGAAAUAUGAUUGUUUGGACAAUGAUUUUAUUAGGUCAACACACAGAUUGGCAAACACGUGCUAGAGAAGAAGUCUUACAUGUCUUAGGAGAUAAAAGACUAGAUAUUGAUGGGUUAAGUCACUUAAAAGUUGUAAGUUUGUCCAUAUUAAUUAUAAAUUUACUAAUAUGCCAAAGUUCUUAUUUCUUUUGUAUCUUAAUCAUCUCAUUUUGCAGAUUAACAUGAUUUUCAAUGAGGUUCUUAGACUAUAUCCACCAGCAGUAAUGUUAAGACGACUGAUACAUGAAGAUACCAAAUUAGGUAAGUUAACCUUACCAGCAGGAACCCUUAUCCAACUAAACACAUUGUUUAUGCACCAUGACAAAGAUAUGUGGGGUGAAGAUGUGAACGAAUUUAAUCCUGAGAGAUUUUCUGAAGGUGUGUCAAAGGUGACCAAGGGUCAAUCUACAUAUCUACCAUUUGGAGGUGGCCCUCGUAUAUGUAUUGGCCAGAAUUUUGCUAUGCUAGAAUCAAAAAUGGCACUUGCUAUGAUUUUACAAGGCUUUUCUUUUGAGCUAUCUCCAUCGUACUCACAUGCUCCACAUACUAUAAUCACUCUACAACCUCAGUUUGGUGCUCACUUGAUUUUACACAGACUUUAGGUGGUUUGUUUCACAUAUUUUAGUUAAUAAAACUAUGUUGUAUUAUACUUUUGUGGUUACAGAUCUAUUCAACUGUAACAUAUGUAUUAUUUAUAUCAUUAUGUAUUGUAAUCAAUCAUGCAUAAUGCAAAUGGAUACACUAGUUCUAAGACAAUAUUGUUUACUAUACUAAAAAAAUCAAAUGUAUUUGUUAGUAAUAAACAAUAAUAAAUCACACACACAAAGUCACACUAUUUUAUGUGGUUCGAUCAAUGUGACAUAUGUCUACAUGGCAUGAGAGAGUGUUCUUAUUCAUGAACUUGAAAUCGAUAAUACAAUUAAAACCCUAGAUAAUAGAUAUCAACCGUAUUCUACAUGCAAUGUACAAAUGUAAACCUAACUAGAGUAAGGUUAUACCCAACUACACAGAUUAACGCAAGGUGCCGAGUUUAUUUACUUUGUUUAGUCGGGUCAAUAUUCAUUCAAAUCAUCAAUUCUCAAGUCACAUUUAACAAUAUAUACCAUUGAUUUGAGUAUAUUUCAAAUCCCAAAAACCAAGAAUGUUCACUCCCUCAUGCCAUUUUUCCCAAAAGGACAUAUUUCCUACUAAUUAAUAUUUACCGAGCCCGAGCAAUGCUUGAAUUUCUAGGUGGGCACCGUCUUUUUCAGCAUAUUAGCUGGAUGCUCCUUGGUAUCCAUCUUUUUAAUAGAAAAGAAAACUUGAUAGUUAUGAACUUUUUUAAAGGUUUCUUUAGCAAUUUCUUGUCUGAAUGAACCUUGCAUGCCCUUUUUCUUUAUGAUAGUUAUGCAUUUUUUUUCUAAAAAAACCUUUCUUUUGUGAAUAAAAGUUGGGACCUUUUUAUUAUUAAGCCUUAAUAAUAGACUCAAAUUAUAAAGUUUAAUUGUUAGAUAUAACCACUUAUUUAUUUGUUGUAUGUGAAAACUGGAAAAUUUUAGAACAAGCAAGGUCUAAAUUGUAACUGUGUACAAGUGAAUUCACAACGUAAUAUUGUUGCAAUAAGACUGUGAAAGCCAAAAGGGGAUCAUUUAUAUAAGUAAAUAUGUAUAUAUACUUUGAAAACUAUGUUCGUAAUAAACCUUUAAAAGUCAACAAGUUAUAGCAAGUCAAGACAAGUGAAAUAGUUGGAGCAUAAAUCAUGAAUUAAAAAUUUUCUUUAUAGUUUUCGGCCUAGUACCCCACCAACCUAGUGAUUUCGGUUUGCCUAGAACCGAAAUCACCCUUUAGUGGGUAACACUAAAACAGAAAUCCCAUGUUAAAGACCUAUAGGACCGAAAUCACCAUUUAAUGGGUGAUACCCAACCGAAAACACCAUGUUGGGAAGACUUAGAACCAAAAACAUGCUAGAACCAAAAGACCCCUAGACUGAAAUCCUCCUUAGACCGAAAUCACAUGUGAUUUCGGUCAUACUAAGGGGAUUUCAAUGGGUUCUUGGUGGGGAAAGUAAAUAAGGAAAGUUAACUUUGUGAUUUAGAUGUUUCCUCCUUUCCAAUACAAAACUAUACCCAACAUAUAUCAAUGUUAUUAACCAACAGUUAACUAGACAAAUAUCAUGUCAUCCUUUCCUCUUUAUAUACGACAAUAAACACCCACAAACCCCACCACAUCACAUUCUUUAACUCCUUUCAUUUUCCUUCAUUCUUUCUCUCAAAGAACAAGUGCAAGAUUUUCAAGAGUUAAUUCUUCAAUUUUGUCCUUAGAGAUUUGGUAAGUGUUUCUUCGAAAUCUAGUGUUUUUAUACACUUUCAUGUAAGUUUCAUCCUAUUUACACACAUUAUUAUGUGUUAAAACUCUUAGGAUAAUACCCUUUCCAAGGAAGUUAAUCAACCACAUUCAAGUGUUUAGGCUUGGAAAUCUUCACAUCAUUUCCUCAAACAACCCACAACCAUACUCAAGGUGAGUUCAUACCUCCACAUUUUUUAGUUUUUCAUGUUUUUAGGGGGAGAGGGGGGGAGGGGGAUACAAGUAAAGUUAAUUUUUUAACAUCAACAUUUGCAUGAUCUAUUACUAUGUGAAAAUAAAACAGUAUUUGCAUGAGAUAUGGUUAUCACUAUCUUUUAUACAAAUAUUUGUGAUAUUUUAGUUUUGAAAUGAAAAACUAACAAAAACAAAACAUAAUCUAUGUUAUAAAAUCAUAAGAAAAAUUAUGAUUGUAAAACUAUAUGGUUUUUGAGGUUUUUUUUUUUUUUUUUUACCAAAAUAUAUAUUUUCUAACAAAAAUGAGUACAUUCUAAUUAUUUCACUAUUUUGUGGGUUACAACCCAAAAAUAUGAUGUUUCACCUUACAUUUUGAAACUAGACAAGAUAAUUACUAUGUAUUUAUAUAAAUGAUUUUAUAAAUGUUUUUCAAAACAAACAUGAUAAACAAUAGUUGAUAUAGCUUGUGAAGCACAAACACCACAUUUUUAUUUCGGAAGAAACAUAUAAUUAUUUAAAGGUAUAAUUAUUUCAUCUACAAGAAAAAGGGGGUUUCAGUUCACGUAUAUCGGUUGAUACUGGUUGCGAGACAUUUGGCUUCACCGUACCUACCAGGGUACACAUUAGGUCCUGCAUUACAACCAAAGUCUCUUGUAGGGAGAGUGUGACACUUCUGUAUAGAUCUAUACGGGAUUAACAACCCUGCACCUGAGCUAUUAAAUAUAGUUAGAUUGGCCAGUCUAGGGUGACAAAUAUCAUAACAGUUCUGACGCCUGUAGAACGUCGUAGUAGGCCAACUAGUCGCAUUAGUAUGGUUAUAAUAACUCACAUAGGGUAUUAAAAAACAUUUGAUUUACGGGUUAACACACAUUCAAGUAGUUUUAUAUAAAGAUAAAACUUUACAACAUCAUUUUUCAGUACAACACUACUUACAUCUUUAGUCUUGGGAUUCAAGACUUACAACUCAUUUUUAAAGAAACUAUUGGAUUUUCUGGAAGUAUACACUAUCAUUUUACAUGAAACAGUUACAAGAUCCUUCUCAUACAAAAUGCUUAUGAACUCACCAACUUAAUUGUUGACACUUUUCAAAAUCAUUUGUGUUCUUAGGAAAUCAGGAAACAGGUAAUCCAAGCAUUUUUGGAGGAUGAGGCAUCAUCACAUCAUGUUAUUAUUUUUGUAUACAUAUUUGAUAUUAAGCAAACAAUGUUUGAAUACAAUGUAAACUUUUAAAUUAUAAAUAUGAUGGUUGUAUGCCUUUGAUUCAUUUAUAUUCAAUUGUUUUUAUAUUGUACAAUGACGUCAUCUGCCCCCAGACGUAUCCACCGUUUCUGGUUCGAGGGUGUGACAGAUUGGUAUCAGAGCAUUGUUUAUAGUGAAGUAAGUAUAUCAACCCACAUAAAAUAUACAUCUAUAAAUACAAUGAGGCUAAAACACUUUGACUAAGAAGUAUACUUUUAAAAUAUAAUUGUAUUUUCAUAAAAAGUAUACAUACAUACAUACAUACACACACACAUACAUACAUACAUACAUACAUACAUACAUACAUACAUACAUACUAGAAACAGUGUCAUAAUAAGAACCAUUUAAAAGUAUUAAGAGGAGUUAAACACUACGGUUAAGCCUAGACAGUUAUGUACUCAUAUCUUGGAUAAAUAUAGUCUGAUCAACUAUAUUUAUGCAAGAUAUGACUAAUAUGUGUUUAGGAAUGGUCGUGGUGGGCAAAGAAUCUAAAACUUACAAACCCUAUACACCAAGAAACUCUAAAAUCAAACAUAAAGAUUAAAAAUACUAUUGGAGUAUUUUUGAAUAUUCUAAACCAUUCAUGUAUUUCUCAUAUCUAUAUUCUCGCACAGACGACAUGGCAGGAUUUCACAUGCCUGGAGACCCCUAUUUCCCUAACCAGGGAAAUGGUGGGCGGAUUGAGGAGGACCCCGAAGAGGAUCUUGAGGAGCUAGUGGAGGAAAAGGAUGAUCCCGAGGAGGACCCAUAGGAGGAAGAAGACGAGGAGGAGGUCAUUAACCCUCCUUACAUCGCCAGGGUUCCCACACACCGACUAGGCUACUAGGGUCCUACGCCCCGCUGGGCAGAAGACUUGGAGAGAUGGAACCGACAAUAAUGCCAACGUUCCCCCUACGGAAUGGAGCGAGGUUUUUAUAACCUCAGCUACGGGGGUCUGACAGACAGGGCCCUUCCUGUCAUGGUUCAGCGCAUCUCGCACCUCGAGGAUCAUACUAGGGCGUCGGCAAAUCAGAUCACGAAGCUAGGGGCCGCUGUUGAGGCCACUGACGCAUGGACCCGAUGGCUUGAGAGGGACUACGCCUAGACAUGUCACGUCAUUGACGCUCUCCAUGAGGACCUUACCACUACGUGAGUGGAAGUGAGAGAGUACUAGGAGAGGCACUCAGCCCUCGAGGAGAGGGUGAUUGCAGCUGAACGUCGGAUAGCAGAGAUGCAAGCCUCCACGACUUCGUCCCACGGCUCACACAAGACCACCCACCAUGAGUAGAAUUUAUACUACUCAUAUCUUGCUUUUAUGUACGAGUAAGUGUUGGUGCUACUCUUUUAUGUAGACCUUCUUAAAGGUUAAUUUUCACAAAACUAUGUACUAGCACUAUAUUAUCAAUGAAAUGGGCACAAAUUUUAUUUCAUUGGGUGUUGCUAUUUGUUAUACAAUUUUUUACUCGCUAUAGUAAAUUUCAUUGUGAAUUGCUUGCAAAUUUCAAUAGCAACUAGACUUGAUAAAUAUACAAAACAAGGCAUUUUUAUUACGGUAAUGCCCGAUUCAUAACUCUUCCCAAACUUAUUGUCAUUCCACCUUUAAACUUUAUGGCAGAAGUAUGCCACCAAAGAAGUCGAAUAGGCGCAAGAACAACACACCAACAACCCCACUACCGCCACCACCCCCACAGAUGGACGCUAAAGUGUUCUAGGUUGCAGUAACAACUACUGUGGCUGCCGUCGUGGCCUAAAUUAGUAGUAACAACAACGGAAGUGGAAACAAAACUAACAGUUCCAAUCAAAGCAAAAACCAAUGGCACCAACGAUUGUGCUCCUACAAAGAAUUUAUGAACUGCAAGACCAGGACCAACCAUCGCGAUGGUGGAGUCAUGACUCUAACAAGAUGGUUUGAAAAGAGCGAGUCCACAUUCGAAAUCUUUGCAUGCCCGGAUGAGUUUAAGGUCAAAUAUGCUGCAUGUAUAUUUGCGGACUCAACCUUGUCGUGGUGGAACAGCCAUGUUAAAACUUUCACUCUAGCCGUUGCCAAAGCUAUGAGUUGGGAGGACCUGAAAGCGAUGAUGCUCGAGGAAUACUGUCCGAGGAGUGAGAUGCAGAAAUUGGAACAAGAGCUGUUGGAACAUGCCAUGAAGGGUUCAGACAUUGCCACCUACACUUCUCAAUUUAACGAGCUGUCAACUCUGUGCCCUGGAAUGGUCACCCUAAAGGCCAAGAAAGUGGAACGUUACACUUGGGGAUUAUCCUCUCAGAUCCAGGGAAUGGUCAUAUCUGCCAACCCUAGCACCUUCGACAGUGCCAAGCGUCUGGCACAAACUCUUGUCGACCAGGGAAUUCGUCAAGGCAUUAUGACCCCCACACCUGAACAACCAAAGCGGGGAGACAACAAGUGGAAGUCCGGGAAUAAGAAAAAGGGUCAACCCGCUCAAGACUCGGCUAAGAAGCAAGAAACUGUGGUUGUCCAUGCCAUCACCGCCCCUACCGCCCCAUCACCAACCAAGUGGAUGAAUAACAACAGAUCUAACAGCCUCCUCUCGUUCGUUGCUUGAAAUCCUUCUCUUCUCUUCCAAAGAUGCACCAAGAUACUCAAUAUUAGCUCACACAUUCUCUCUAUUAGCUCAAAGGGAAAUCAGGGUUUCUCUCAGUGAAAGCAAGCAACUGAUGAGCCACAAAUAAGGCUAUAAGUGCCCUUAAAUAAGCCCCAAACCCGGGGAUUUAUGGUUUCUCUUCACAACGUCUACUCGGCGAGUCGACUCUCGAACUCAUCAAGUAGAUCAUUAAUCCACGUGGCACAACGCGCCCCUACUCGAUGAGUUGUAGCACCAACUCGUCGAGUUGCUCAGUAGUCCUCCAAUUAAAUAAAUAAACAAUUUACCUGGAAGUCCGGUUGUUAUUGGUGAGUAGACCGAUUAAAACACCGACAUAUCCAAACCUAAGCAGAGGACCAAAACUAUCAACCUUCCUAAAUUAUUGUGGCCAAAACCUAAAAUGUGUAAAAUUCAUUAUUCCUAAAGUUACAUGUGUACUAAUAUAUUUAUAUAAUUAUUCCUAAGUCAUCAAUCAUUACUUUUUUUAAACCACAAAUAUACUAAACUAUACCUAAAUUAUUCCACCUAUGUAUAUUGUGAGACUUGAACUCUCAACCUCAAAAGGAAUAACAAUAUCUGAUAUUGGGCUAAAAGCCCUUUGGUAUCAAUUGUUAACAUUGUUGGAGGUUUGUUUGGCAAUCUACAAAGGACCUCAAAAGUCAAAAUAGUAUCAAUUCCAAUAUAAAUUUCACAAUUGUCUAUACAUACAUCUUUCUUUCAAAUUUAUACAUACACCAAUCGCCCAAUCCACCGAUUUAUCAAUAGUCAAUGUUGAUCAGAUCCAAGCUUCCAACAUUGGUACAAAUUAAAGUCUAGCCUUCUACAGUUUAUGUUACUGUUUUUAUUUUCUAGUUUUUAUUCAAUGCUAUCUAUGGAAACAAUAUAUUAAUAGACUGUUAAAAGUUAAUGAACAACUUUAUUUUUAUGAAUACUAUGAGAGCCUCUUAAUUCCUAUAGCUAUAUAAGAUUAUCUAUUAUGUUACGGUUCUUUAUGUUACCGUUCUUUUGUUUUUGAUUAUUGUUAUAACAAUUAUACUAGUAUUGAUGAAUUUCGGUUAUAAGUAAAAAAAUAUAUAUUUAGAGACUCAUUUUUGAAUCUUUGCACAUGACCUCUUAAAUCAACGGAGUGGUUCUUUAUAUACCCUUGUAUAUCUCGGCCGUCCCCUUAUGGUGUAAUCCCUAUGUAUGUUUCGUAAUUGAGAAGGAAUGGAAUUCAUUGGAAAAUGUCCCGUCUUCUUUAAUGACUAUUUGUUUUACAUACAAAAUUGAAAGGGUAUAAGAAAAAGAAAAGACCAAAUUGAACUCCAACAUAGAGACAAGAUGUGUGUGUGGACAAGAAAAAGACCAGGUUUUCUAGAAGGUGUUUGGGAGGAAAGGUCCAAAUUAUUUCACCUUUAAUCAUGUUAUCUGAAAGUAUCGACAUACUCCUUUUAGAAAAAAAACAAAAUUUGCCUAUUUGUUUAUCAAAAGUAUUAUAAAGUUUUAGUAAGAUAGAUUAUGACAUAUAAGGCUUCUCGGUUUUGGUUUAUAAAGGUUAUCUUAUAUUUUUAAUUAUUUAAUUUUUAACCUCAUUUUUGUUAAAUUAUCUAUCAUUUCAUAUCGAAGGUGGUAUACGAAAGGAAUUAUUGCCGUAAAAUGUAAAGCUAUUGGGAAUUUGGAUAUAAAGAUUUUUACAUAACUCACCCUCAAUCCAAAGUAAUUCCAACUUAAACAGCCUACUAUUUUUAUCCUUUUUUUUCACCAAUACUCUCAAACGUCAUAUUCCAUUUUCACAAGAUGCUACUCUUUUAAGAAUCAAGGAAUUUUCUUUUUACUAUUAUUUGCUUAUAUUAUACAUUUAUACUAUUUACAUCCUACAACAAUCAUGUGAUAGACAACAAUAAAAUACACUAUUACACAUGGAUCAUAACCAUCAAUUUCUCAAACCAUAAGGACGUACACUGAACAUUGCACAAUGAUAAAUACCUCUCUCUUUCUUAUCACCACCACAAGUUUCAAAAUAUCACUGGUUUUUCCUAAUCACGAGGGAUGGAAGCAAGUGCAGUUCUUUGCGUUCUUGGAGUAGCAGCAAUCUUGGGGUUAUAUAUUUGGAGGAUUUCGAACUGGUUGUGGUUUAAACCAAAAAAGAUAGAAAAAUUUCUAAGAGAUCAAGGUCUCAAGGGUAGCUCCUAUACCUUCGUUUUCGGAGAUUUGAAAGAAAUGGUGCAGAUGAGAAGGGAUGCCAAAUCGAAACCCAUGAAUCUAACUCACGAUAUAGCUCCUCGUGUCUUGCCCUUCAUCCAUAAGUCAAUCUCUACUUAUGGUAUGCCUUGAGUUUUUUUUAAUUCUGUUAAGUUAUGUUUAAUUAUGACAGUAAUUACGUCCUUUUUUUGGUUGUCGAGUUCUACAUAUAUAUUUUUAUUGUUUCCUAUACAAAAAUAGUCGAUAUAGUUAUAUAAUGUUGAUAUACACAUGUAACUUAAUAACAGUCUUGCCGUUAAAAAAAACACAUAUACCUUAAUAAAAAAUCUUAGAAGCAAUUAAAACCCACUUCUUUUGUUACUGAUCAUGUGAUAAAUUUUCUAGGAUGUCAUAUGACAAAUUUUCUAAGAUGCAAGUAAAUUAAAGCCCACUAAUUUCUAAGAACUUAAACAUAACGAGAUUUUGACACAUCAUUGUUUAUUCAAAACCACGUGAACAAACAUGUUCACAACUAUGCAAAUGGUAAUUAAACACCCACUGCAUAAAAAGUAAAAAAAAAAAGGUAUGUUUCUCGUUAUGGUGUGUAAUAAAAUGAUAGUUAUCACGCUGUCUUGAUUAAUGAAAGAAUACAUGUAUUCUAAUGUGAAUAUUUGCGUACCUAAUUAGUGAUUAUAUGAGAUCAAAUUUUUAAUCUUCUGUAGAUACCUUUAACAUUUUUGUCUGUAUUCGAAUGUUUUAGUUUUUUGCAUAUUCCUUGGAAAAGUAGUAUCUAAAACGCGUAUGUUAAUUUUUUUUUGUUGGGUCUUUGUCCUAAUUAUUUAGGUAAGAGUUGCUUCACAUGGAUGGGGACAAAACCUUUGGUGCACAUAUCUGAACCAACAAUGAUACGGGAAAUCUUGGCUAACUAUUAUCAGUUUCAAAAGCCAAGGGGAGGAAAUCCAUUAACAAAGUUGCUAGCAAGAGGAUUAAUUGAUGCAGAAGCUGAUCAAUGGAUUAAACAUAGAAAAAUCAUCAACCCAGCAUUCCAUGUCGAGAAGCUUAAGGUUUCUUAAAGCUGUUUUUUUUCUCCUUUUCAAUUCACUACGUAUCUUAUAUAUGUCUCUGAAAACCUCAUGUGGGUGUAUUUGUGCUUUUUUGGCAGCAUAUGGUACCUGCAUUUUAUGUGAGCUGCAGUGAGAUGAUCGACAAAUGGGGGAAACUGGUAACCAAAGAAAGCUCGUAUGAAGUGGAUGUGUGGCCUCAUCUACAAACCUUUACAAGUGAUGUAAUUUCACGUACAGCAUUUGGUAGUAGUUUUGAGGAAGGGAGAAAGAUUUUUGAAUUUCAAAGAGAACAAGCCGAGCUGAUUAUAAAGGCUGCACAGUCGGUUUACAUUCCAGGAUCAAGGUGAAUACAUU